rnacentral:pre_miRNA from 15 species
GAUCCCUGAGCAGGGGUUGCUCUUGGUGAAUUCGCUUUAUUCUUGUUGAAUCACACAAAGGUAACUUUGGUUUGCAUAUC